rnacentral:rRNA from 1 species
UAUGGGGGGACCAUCCUCCAAGGCUAAAUACUCCUGACUGACCGAUAGUGAACCAGUACCGUGAGGGAAAGGCGAAAAGAACCCCGGCGAGGGGAGUGAAAAAGAACCUGAAACCGUGUACGUACAAGCAGUGGGAGCACCUUCGGGUGUGACUGCGUACCUUUUGUAUAAUGGGUCAGCGACUUAUAUUCUGUAGCAAGGUUAACCGUAUAGGGGAGCCGCAGGGAAACCGAGUCUUAACUGGGCGUUAAGUUGCAGGGUAUAGACCCGAAACCCGGUGAUCUAGCCAUGGGCAGGUUGAAGGUUGGGUAACACUAACUGGAGGACCGAACCGACUAAUGUUGAAAAAUUAGCGGAUGACUUGUGGCUGGGGGUGAAAGGCCAAUCAAACCGGGAGAUAGCUGGUUCUCCCCGAAAGCUAUUUAGGUAGCGCCUCGUGAAUUCAUCUUCGGGGGUAGAGCACUGUUUCGGCUAGGGGGUCAUCCCGACUUACCAACCCGAUGCAAACUACGAAUACCGAAGAAUGUUAUCACGGGAGACACACGGCGGGUGCUAACGUCCGUCGUGAAGAGGGAAACAACCCAGACCGCCAGCUAAGGUCCCAAAGUCAUGGUUAAGUGGGAAACGAUGUGGGAAGGCACAGACAGCCAGGAUGUUGGCUUAGAAGCAGCCAUCAUUUAAAGAAAGCGUAAUAGCUCACUGGUCGAGUCGGCCUGCGCGGAAGAUGUAACGGGGCUAAACCAUGCACCGAAGCUGCGGCAGCG